AGAUAACAUUGGCAGGCAAGGAGAUAAGAAUAAAACAUUGGUUCUGGAAAUUGAGAUCACACUAUUAUUACACUUCCGAACUUGCUGUCACAAAUUUGUUCAAUGCAUUUGUGGAUCAGCUAACUUUUGUAAAGUCCACAGAGGACGCCUCAAGACUUCAAAACUCCAUAUCCUCUUUGUGAAUACGUAAAAAUUCGGAUCUGUUCGUAAAUGUUUAAUCGACCUUAACUGACCUCCAAUUGAGGUGAACGAUUUUUCCUGAAGUCUAAAUAACAAUUUACUGGAAUAAAUACCAUUUAAAAAUGA